rnacentral:rRNA from 1 species
UACGUAGGGUGCAAGCGUUGUCCGGAAUUAUUGGGCGUAAAGAGCUCGUAGGUGGCCUGUCGCGUCGGCUGUGAAAACUCGGGGCUCAACUCCGAGCUUGCAGUCGAUACGGGCAGGCUAGAGUUCGGGCAGGGGAGACUGGAAUUCCUGGUGUAGCGGUGAAAUGCGCAGAUAUCAGGAGGAACACCGGUGGCGAAGGCGGGUCUCUGGGCCGAUACUGACACUGAGGAGCGAAAGCGUGGGGAGCGAACAGG